GGGCGAUUGGCUCAGCGGGAGAGCGCUGUCCUCACACGGCAGAGGUCACAGGUUCAAACCCUGUAUCGCCCACCA
rnacentral:tRNA from 1 species